AUGUGCUUACAUUCGAUCGAUCUACCCGGCGCUUUUGGACAAGAAUAAACACGGACUACUUGGGAUUUUUUGGAAGGCAGCAAGAAUUGGU